CGGGGAUUGGCGCAGCGGUAGCGCGCACGUCUGGGGGGCGUGAGGUCAGGAGUUCGAUUCUCCUAUCCCCGA
rnacentral:tRNA from 1 species